rnacentral:tRNA from 1 species
AGGAAUAUAGUUUAUUAAAUAACAUUUAACUUGCAUUUAAAAAAAAUUGAUUAAUCAAUUAUUCUUA